rnacentral:tRNA from 1 species
CGAGCAGCAGCGCGCCGGGCGCUGCCGCCAACGAUGCGGCGACUUUCUCGAGAAAGUCGGUCGCCUUCGAAGGCGACUGCACGA